rnacentral:rRNA from 1 species
AUACGUAGGUGGCAAGCGUUAUCCGGAAUUAUUGGGCGUAAAGAGGGAGCAGGCGGCAGCAAGGGUCUGUGGUGAAAGCCUGAAGCUUAACUUCAGUAAGCCAUAGAAACCAGGCAGCUAGAGUGCAGGAGAGGAUCGUGGAAUUCCAUGUGUAGCGGUGAAGUGCGUAGAUAUAUGGAGGAAAACCAGUGGGGAAGGCGACAAUCGGGCCGACAACUGACGCUCAGUCCCGAAAGCGUGGGGAGCAAAUAGGAUUAGAUCCCCUAGUAGUCCACGCCGUAAACGAUGAGUACUAAGUGUUGGAUGUCAAAGUUCAGUGCUGCAGUUAACGCAAUAAGUACUCCGCCUGAGUAGUACGUUCGCAAGAAUGAAACUCAAAGGAAUUGACGGGG